rnacentral:rRNA from 1 species
UACGUAGGGUGCGAGCGUUAAUCGGAAUUACUGGGCGUAAAGCGUGCGUAGACGGUUGCGUAAGUCAGAUGUGAAAGCCCCGGGCUCAACCUGGGAAUUGCAUUUGAGACUGCGUAGCUAGGGUGCGGAAGAGGGAAGCGGAAUUUCCGGUGUAGCGGUGAAAUGCGUAGAUAUCGGAAGGAACAUCAGUGGCGAAAGCGGCUUCCUGGACCAGCACCGACGUUCAGGCACGAAAGCGUGGGGAGCAAACAGG